CGCAUCUGUGCAUGCAGCAUAUCAAUAAGCGGAGGAAAAGAAACUAACAAGGAUUCCCCUAGUAACGGCGAGUGAAGCGGGAAGAGCUCAAAUUUGAAAUCUUAAAGGGUUUCCCUUUACGAAUUGUAGUUUAAAGAAGUGUUUUCUGUUGAGGUUUUGGUAAAAGUUCUUUGGAAUAGGACAUCAUAGAGGGUGAGAAUCCCGUAUUUGACCUUUACUUUCAACUUUGUGAUACACUUUCAAAGAGUCGGAUUGUUUGGGAAUGCAGUCCAAAAUGGGUGGUAAAUUUCAUCUAAAGCUAAAUAUUGGCGAGAGACCGAUAGCGAACAAGUACCGUGAGGGAAAGAUGAAAAGAACUUUGAAAAGAGAGUUAAACAGUACGUAAAUUGUCAAAAGGGAAGCGUUUGACACCAGUGUUGUUUUUCUGAAAAUCAAUUAAAGAACUGUUUAUGCUAAGUUGUUUAGACUUUAUCAGCUAACUGUUUAGUUUUGAGCUUUUCUUUAAUGCACUUUUCAGUUAACAAGUCAACAUCAAUUUCUUUUGCUGUAAAAAAGCUUGAGGAAGGUGGCUUGAGAUUCGUCUUAAGUGUUUAUAGCCUCUUGCCUAUGCAGUCGGAGAGAUUGAGGUCUGCAGCGUAGAUCCUUCGGGGCUAAAUGCAUUUGUGCUAAGUUAUAGCAUUUUAUAGACAACUUGUUGACUAUGAUUUGUCUUGUAGCUUACUCGCUUAUGUUAUUUUACCUACGCUUAGGAUGUUGAACGCGCACAGAGUCUC
rnacentral:rRNA from 1 species